GUGAAAUUGUUGAAAGGGAAGCGCUUGCGAUCAGACUCGCCCGGGGAGGUUCAGCCGGCACUUGUGCCGGUGCAUUCCUGCCCGGGCGGGCCAGCGUCGGUUUGGACGGCCCGUCAAAGGCUCCCGGAAGGUAGCGCCCCGCUCGGGGCGUCUUAUAGCCGGGGGUGCCAUGCGGCCUGUCCGGACCGAGGAACGCGCCUUCGGGCUCGGACGCUGGCGUAAUGGUCGUAAGCGGCCCGUCUUGAAACACGGACCAAGGAGUCUAACAUCCACGCGAGUGUUCGGGUGUUCAAAACCCGUCCGCGCAGUGAAAGCGAACGGAGGUGGGAACCCCCUUCCCGGGGGGUGCACCAUCGACCGAUCCUGAUGUCUUCGGAUGGAUUUGAGUAGGAGCGUGGCUGUUGGGACCCGAAAGAUGGUGAACUAUGCCUGAAUAGGGCGAAGCCAGAGGAAACUCUGGUGGAGGCUCGCAACGGUUCUGACGUGCAAAUCGAUCGUCAAAUUUGGGUAUAGGGGCGAAAGACUAAUCGAACCAUCUGGUAGCUGGUUCCUGCCGAAGUUUCCCUCAAGAUAACAGUAACGAAAUCAGUUU
rnacentral:rRNA from 1 species